GGCGGCGUGCUUAACACAUGCAAGUCGAACGAUGAACCGCUUUCGGGCGGGGAUUAGUGGCGAACGGGUGAGUAACACGUGGGCAAUCUGCCCUGCACUCUGGGACAAGCCCUGGAAACGGGGUCUAAUACCGGAUAUGACUGUCCAUCGCAUGGUGGAUGGUGUAAAGCUCCGGCGGUGCAGGAUGAGCCCGCGGCCUAUCAGCUUGUUGGUGAGGUAGUGGCUCACCAAGGCGACGACGGGUAGCCGGCCUGAGAGGGCGACCGGCCACACUGGGACUGAGACACGGCCCAGACUCCUACGGGAGGCAGCAGUGGGGAAUAUUGCACAAUGGGCGAAAGCCUGAUGCAGCGACGCCGCGUGAGGGAUGACGGCCUUCGGGUUGUAAACCUCUUUCAGCAGGGAAGAAGCGAAAGUGACGGUACCUGCAGAAGAAGCGCCGGCUAACUACGUGCCAGCAGCCGCGGUAAUACGUAGGGCGCAAGCGUUGUCCGGAAUUAUUGGGCGUAAAGAGCUCGUAGGCGGCUUGUCACGUCGGUUGUGAAAGCCCGGGGCUUAACCCCGGGUCUGCAGUCGAUACGGGCAGGCUAGAGUUCGGUAGGGGAGAUCGGAAUUCCUGGUGUAGCGGUGAAAUGCGCAGAUAUCAGGAGGAACACCGGUGGCGAAGGCGGAUCUCUGGGCCGAUACUGACGCUGAGGAGCGAAAGCGUGGGG
rnacentral:rRNA from 1 species